CCUAUAAAGGACUGUAAGUCGCUCUGGAUAAGAGCGUCUGCUAAAUGACGUAAA
rfam:Salmo salar isolate Sally breed double haploid chromosome ssa14, whole genome shotgun sequence.